UUUAGAGCUUGUGAAGAAGAUUAACAACGUCAAAUGUCAUUUGAAUCGAUUACUGAAUGAUAUAUGAUCGGAGAUGGUCAAAGUGUUUUUUAUGAAAAUAGAUUUUGAUACGUAGUAUCAAACCCAUUAUAGCAAAGAAUAAAUUCACUCCGACGAAUCGACGUCCCCGACGAGAGAGAGAGAGAGAGAGAGAGAGAGAGAGAAUGUGGUUUUGGGGUAAGUUAGAGAACAUGUGGUUGUUCAGCAGAGAAGCACCUACUCGGCUGCUCACUACUCCAUUGUAAGUUCGUAACAGGUCCAAGUCGGUUGUCCUGUUGAAGGCAUGGGGAACAAUGGUGGAAGCGGUGGUAGAGAAGUCGGUUGUCACUGAAUACAAUAGAGGACUGGGUUGGGCCAACCUAUGGUGUACCAGUUGUUAUGCCAAUGGCAGUGCCGGGCAGCUAAGUUGGUAUGGAAGAACUGCUGCGCCGCAGGAAAUCCUUCUCUAUACAAGUUCUCGGACAAGGUUUUUGAACUGAACUUCGAUAGGCGAGAGGUGUAUUUGGUCAAGUUCUAACAUUUGAAGACUUGCAGGAAAAUAAUUUUUUGGAGCAGCUACUGGAAGCGAUUGUCAUGCUGGGUUUUUUCCCCUUGACUUCUGCCUAGGCCCGUAUUGAUGAAGAUAUAUGCUUUGCUGUAUGCUGUUAUUUCUAUUAUCUAUGCACUUCUUUCCUUUCUCUGGGAAAAAAAGGAAGAAAGAAGAGAAGUUAUACUGUUGCUGCCAUGUUUAUGUUAUUUGAUAUGUUUUUGCAGACUCUAGAUAAGUUAAAAACACUUUAAGAAUUCAACACGAUGGAGAAUACAAUUGCACUAGCAAAUAAGAGGAGGAGGAUCAUUCUGCCUCCAUCUAAAAUCCCUCUAAUUAAGGUUUCAAAAGGUUUUUAACUUUUGAAUUUAGUUUGCUGAUAAAGAUCUUAUUCUAUUUAUUUGAAACUGUAAGUGUGGAAACUGGAAAGGCACAGAGUUGCAUGGAGGACCGAAUCAGUAACUUGCCAGAUGGAGUUCCUGUUUCCAUUGUGUCUCAACUUGAACAAGAAGCAAGCAUUAGUGUCCUGUCCCGUCGACGGAUAGAUUUGUGAAGAUUCAGUCGUAGUUUGAAGUUGAAAUUUCGUGAUGGGUUGUGGUUGGACUUUGGAGAGGAGUCAUUUGGUUUUAGAUGCAGGGAGUUUGUUGAGUGGGUUAAUUGCCUCUUGAAGUUGCAUCGUGGUGAAAUGACAUAUAUAUUGAGCUUUGGAUUUUGUUUGAACAACAAAAGCUUCAGAGUGAUAUUGACGGUUGGAUCGCCUUUGCUUUUCGAAAGAGGGUUAAAAAGCUCAAGUUGAACUUUGCCUGUAAUUGGACGAAUGUGAAUUGGAAUUACCCUCUCACUGCCGAGAUUCUUCACGGUUGCAGUCUUGAUUCCCCAACUUCCCUCUACCUGUGCCAUGUAGAUGUGACGGAAGAAGUUCCCUAUUACUAUCUGUCCGUUUGCCCAUCUCUUGAAGAGUUAUCUAUAUUACCUAACAAAUGUUUGGUGAAUUUUUCGGUUUCUGGUCCAUCACUCAAGCUAAGACACUUGGAGAUACAAGACACAUGGAAUCUGGAAAAACUCGAUAUUUGUGACUCAAAUCUGGUGUCAUUCACAUACACUGGACAGAAGACCAGCAUUUUCUUAAAAGAUACACCGCUUCUUGUUAAGGCUUCUUUUGGUUGUUAUGCUUGUACUAUAGUUAAGAACUUCAUCCAUGGAUCAAGCUAUCUCUAGCAACUUGAGAUGCUUGUAUUGGGCUUCGGUUGCCAGUGUAAGACUCCUCCUUUGUGGUUGCCUACUAUAAGGGUGUCUCUUUUAUUGAGUCGACUUAAGAUUGAGGGAAUUUAAGGGAACUAAAGACAAAAAAAAAGAAGGGAAAGCACAAAGUGAAAGAAGAAGCGGCAGCAUGACUCCUGUUCCUCCAACCUCUCACGCCGACUGCCAACUUCCGUUCAUAUUUCAUCGGAAUCUCUAUCCUCUUUCUCACGGUACCAGUUCAAUGGAGUAGGUACCAGUUCAAUGAAGUAUCUCGCAUACGUGAUGAAUUAAGCAUUUCUUAAAGGUGAGUUGCGCAUACCUUAGUUACAUUUAUUUUCUAAAUUUUUCGAAUAAAAUGCCAUUGCUUGAUUUUACUGGAAAAUAUGGAAUUUGAGCUUUUUACUUGGUUGAAUUGAUGAUGAUAAAUGGGAAAUACAUGCGAUGGCUUGUUUAUAAAUUUUAUAUGUUACGGUUAAAUCUAAACCAUGGCAAUAUGUUUUGGAAACUUGAAUUUUAUUGGCUGCUAGUACAUGCUUGUGAUAAUAUGAUUCAUUCGAACGGUGUCCCGAGCGCUAGGGAACGGGUAAAGAUACUAGUGGCGUGAAGUAAUAAGGUAGGAGAUGCAGCCAGGCAUCACCGGAUAAUGAUAUCUUACCACUCUUCAAUGGGGUCGCUCCCCAACCGACUGGCAAAAAUACCGUUGAAUGCUAUUAUCGCUCAAAAGUGCAAAAGUUGAAAGAGAAAUGAAAUGAAAAGGGUCCAUCUCUUGGACCAAAGAAAUGAGCUUACGGGCUAUAAUGCAUGUACUGGAUGUUCAAUGAAAUAUUUGGAUUGUUGCUUUGAACUGUUUUAUAAUGUGGGGUAUUUUCAUGGUCAAACUUGUAAAUUUGGUAUACGUUUCUCACCCGAGCUUCGACUUAUGAAAACCUUUUCCAAUUUUUCAGGUUAAGGUAGAUAGCAAGUUAUGGACUAAG